ACCUCCAUCCGUGCCGAGAUUUCUUCAGACACCAGACCAUCAGUGCUGAUGAGACUCGCAAGAAAAGUGGGGCA
rfam:Schistosoma rodhaini strain Burundi genome assembly, scaffold: SROB_scaffold0009258